AAGACGAUGGCGGAGGCCUAACACAUGCAAGUCGAGCGGAAACGAGUUAUCUGAACCUUCGGGGAACGAUAACGGCGUCGAGCGGCGGACGGGUGAGUAAUGCCUAGGAAAUUGCCCUGAUGUGGGGGAUAACCAUUGGAAACGAUGGCUAAUACCGCAUGAUGCCUACGGGCCAAAGAGGGGGACCUUCGGGCCUCUCGCGUCAGGAUAUGCCUAGGUGGGAUUAGCUAGUUGGUGAGGUAAGGGCUCACCAAGGCGACGAUCCCUAGCUGGUCUGAGAGGAUGAUCAGCCACACUGGAACUGAGACACGGUCCAGACUCCUACGGGAGGCAGCAGUGGGGAAUAUUGCACAAUGGGCGCAAGCCUGAUGCAGCCAUGCCGCGUGUGUGAAGAAGGCCUUCGGGUUGUAAAGCACUUUCAGUCGUGAGGAAGGUGGUAGUGUUAAUAGCACUAUCAUUUGACGUUAGCGACAGAAGAAGCACCGGCUAACUCCGUGCCAGCAGCCGCGGUAAUACGGAGGGUGCGAGCGUUAAUCGGAAUUACUGGGCGUAAAGCGCAUGCAGGUGGUUUGUUAAGUCAGAUGUGAAAGCCCGGGGCUCAACCUCGGAAUAGCAUUUGACACUGGCAGACUAGGAGUACUGUAGAGGGGGGUACAAUUUGCACGUGUAGCGGAUGAAAUGCGUAUAGAUCUGACUGAAUACCGGUGCCGAUGCCGACCCUCUGAACAGAUACUGACACUCACAUGCGAAAGCGUGCCUAUCGGAGAGCAAUAAUUUACCCUGGAUCGCUAAGCCGCUAUACAAUGUCUAGUGAGUAGAUGUGCCGAUAGGCCCCCCGCCUUGUCGGCACUAACGACAUUAAGUAGACAACCCGUGGAGUACAGACGGUAAAUAUC
rnacentral:rRNA from 1 species